AACUUUCAACAACGGAUCUCUUGGUUCUGGCAUCGAUGAAGAACGCAGCGAAAUGCGAUAAGUAAUGUGAAUUGCAGAAUUCCGUGAAUCAUCGAAUCUUUGAACGCACAUUGCGCCCUUUGGUAUUCCGAAGGGCAUGCCUGUUCGAGCGUCA
rnacentral:rRNA from 1 species